AUUGAACGCUGGCGGCAGGCCUAACACAUGCAAGUCGAACGAGUGGCGGACGGGUGAGUAAUGACUGGGAAACUGCCCGAUGGAGGGGGAUAACUACUGGAAACGGUAGCUAAUACCGCAUAGCAUCGGAUCUGCCCAGAUGGGAUUAGCUAGUGGGUGGGGUAACGGCGUACCUAGGAGACGAUCCCUAGCUGGUCUGAGGGGAUGACAGGCGACACUGGAACUGAGCCACGGUCCAGACUCCUACGGGAGGCAGCAGUGGGGAAUAUUGCACAAUGGGGGCAAGCCUGAUGCAGCCAUGCCGAGUGUAUUAAGAAGGCCUUCGGGUUGUAAAGUACUUUCAGCGAGGAGGCGUUACUCGCAGAAGAAGCACCGGCUAACUCCGUGCCAGCAGCCGCGGUAAUAC
rnacentral:rRNA from 1 species